rnacentral:rRNA from 1 species
UACGAAGGGGGCUAGCGUUGUUCGGAAUUACUGGGCGUAAAGGGCUCGUAGGCGGCCAACUAAGUCAGACGUGAAAUCCCUCGGCUUAACCGGGGAACUGCGUCUGAUACUGGAUGGCUAGAGAUUGGGAGAGGGAUGCGGAAUUCCAGGUGUAGCGGUGAAAUGCGUAGAUAUCAGGAGGAACACCGGUGGCGAAGGCGGGUCUCUGGGCCGAUAACUGACGCUGAGGAGCGAAAGCGUGGGGAGCGAACGGGA